rnacentral:rRNA from 1 species
UACGGAGGGUGCAAGCGUUAUCCGGAUUCACUGGGUUUAAAGGGUGCGUAGGUGGGCAAGUAAGUCAGUGGUGAAAUCUCCGGACUUAACCCGGAAACUGCCAUUGAUACUAUUUGUCUUGAAUACUGUGGAGGUCAGCGGAAUAUGUCAUGUAGCGGUGAAAUGCUUAGAUAUGACAUAGAACACCAAUUGCGAAGGCAGCUGGCUACACAAAUAUUGACACUGAGGCACGAAAGCGUGGGGAUCAAACAGG